UACGUAGGGUGCGAGCGUUGUCCGGAAUUAUUGGGCGUAAAGGGCUCGUAGGCGGUUUGUCGCGUCGGGAGUGAAAACCAGGUGCUUAACACCUGGCUUGCUUUCGAUACGGGCAGACUAGAGGUAUGCAGGGGAGAACGGAAUUCCUGGUGUAGCGGUGAAAUGCGCAGAUAUCAGGAGGAACACCGGUGGCGAAGGCGGGUUGCUGGGCUGACACUGACGCUGAGGCGCGAAAGCGAGGGGAGCGAACGGG
rnacentral:rRNA from 1 species